UCCAUGCCCUCUGGAGUCUUAGUGUUCGGG
rnacentral:piRNA from 1 species